CAAGGUAGACGGGCAGUCGCUUUUUUAAAAAGAGGAAAGUCUGAGCACCAUCGGAUUAGAAUGCCGGCUAACUGCCGGGCAGGGUAACUUGACGGAAAGUGCAACAGAAAGUAAACCGCCAUUUGGUAAGGGUGAAACGGUGAGGUAAGAGCUCACCUCAAUUAAGGAAACUUAAUUGGAU
rnacentral:RNase_P_RNA from 1 species